AUUGUCUUCUUGGAUUAUUAGCAUGUAACAUAGAUCAUAUUGAACUAAGGGCGUGUUUGGUUCAAAGGUGGAAUUGGAAUGGAUAAUGGAAUGAGAAUGAAUUGGAAUGGUAAUUGGAAUGGCCCACUUCCCCAAGACGUUUGGUUUAUUUGUGGAUUGGGAAUUGGAAUGAGUUAUUUACAUUUCAUUAUUUGGUUCGUAUAAACUAAAAAAAUUAUAGGAUACUAUAAUACUAAUUUUACUCUCAAAUAUAAAUUUAUAUUAUUUAAAAUUUAUGAAAAAUAUAAUACUAUUCUCUAAUAAGUUUUCUAAAAAAAAUNUGAGCUCCAGAGAUAUGGGCCUUAAUACGCUUUUACUUAUUGGGCUUGUAUGUGAACAUAUUAUUGGAUUAUAUUAUAACAAAAUAUCCAAUAACAAUAUAUCCAACAAUAGGUUCUAAA
rnacentral:lncRNA from 1 species